UGUCUUUUUGAAAUAAUAUAAAGUCUAAUCUGCCCACUGAUAUAAUAUUAAAGGGCUGCAGUAUAUUGACUGUACAAAGGUAGCAUAAUCAUUAGUCAUUUAAUUGAUGACUUGUAUGAAAGAUUGGAUGAAAUAUAAACUGUCUCUUAAUUAUAAAUAGAAUUUAAUUUUUUUAUUAAAAAGUUAAAAUAAUUUAAAAAGACGAGAAGACCCUAUAGAGUUUUAUAAUUAAGUUAAUUAAAAUUAUUUAUUAAAAUAAAAUUAAAAUUAAUUUAUUUAUUUUGUUGGGGUGACAAAAAAAUAUAUAUAACUUUUUUUAAAAAUAAUAACAUUUAUAAGUGAUUAAAUGAUCCAAUAUUAUUGAUUAUAAGAAAAAAUUACCUUAGGGAUAACAGCGUAAUUUUUUUUUUUAGUUCACAUAAAAAAAAAAGUUUGCGACCUCGAUGUUGGAUUAAGAUAAAAUUUGAAUGUAGAAG
rnacentral:rRNA from 1 species